GCAGCUGCAAGGGCUUGUGGGGGAUGGGGAAGGAAGCCCGGCAGUGCGUUGGGGCGGGGCUUCCGCAGACUCCUAAGAUGCCCAGAGAAGGGGCCUCUUCUGGACCAACCGCGAUCCCACCCACCAGACUCGCUGAGAAAGCGUUGCAGCCCAAAGGAUGUGCUUCAGAAUAAUAAUGGUAAAAAGGAAAAGUGAAGUGCAUAGAGGUACAGAUGAAACGAAACUGACCACAAGAUGAUGGUUCGUGAAACAAGG